AGAAAGGUAAGCUAAUAAAGCUAAUGGGUUCAUACCCCAUCUAUAGAGGAUUAAGCCCUCUCCUCUCUA
rnacentral:tRNA from 2 species